CUUGUCAUUUGUGAAUUUGUAAACAUAGGUUCCAUGUUGUGUUAUUGCUGUUCAUUUCCUAAUAUUUUAAUGAUUAGACUUGGAAAACCAAAAACUUAGCUAGCCCUGAUGAUGAUAAUAAAAGUUAUCGAAACUGUCGGCAACUAAAUAAAUUGGUUUUUGUCAUCUUCAGACCUUAAACCCAUUAAAAACUCAACUUAUAUU